rnacentral:rRNA from 1 species
UUAUAUUUAAAAAUUGAUUUUAAAAAAUAAAAAGAUUUAUUUAAUUUGUAUUGUGAUAGAUUUUAUAAUAUUUUCUAUAGAAGAGAGUACUGUGAAGGAAGUAAAAUAUUAAUAAUAUUUAAAAAGCAUUAUUAUUACCUUUUGCAUAAGGGUUUAUUUAAAAUUAAAAAAUAUUUUUUAUUCCCGAAACUUAAUGAGCUAUUUUUUUAAAAGUUUUAUGUGUUUUAUAAUAUAAUUGUAUAAAAAAAUAGAAAUGAAAUUUUAUUCAAAUUAAGUGAUAUCUGGUUUUAAUAACUAAAUUAUAUAUUUACAUUAAAGUAUUAAUUUUAAAUUGCUUUAAAUGUGAAGAUUUAUGGGAUAAGCUAUAAUUUUUUUUUAUAAAGUGUUUUUAUUUGUUAGUAAAGGUUUAAAAAUUACUUGGAUUUGUAAUAAAAAAUUUAGAUUUGAAAGAAAGAGUUUAAGAAAAUGGUUAUUUUAUUGAAUAUUUUUUAAAAGAAAUUAUAAUAAAAUUAGUAUAAAGUUUUUAUUAAAUUAAAAGUUUAAUUUAUUUUCAAUGUAAAUUAUUUUAUUUUAAGGAACUCGGCAAAUUAAUUUUUGACUGUUUAUCAAAAACAUUUUAUUUUGAAUUAAUGAAAUAUUUAACCUGCUCAAUGUGAAUUAUAAAUUGCUGUGGUAUUUUGACUAUACGAAGGUAUUGAAAUAAGGUCUUAAAUGGAUGCUAAGAGAAUGGUUGAACAAAGAUUAUCUUUCUUAAAAUAAAUAAUUAAAAGUUGGUUUUUAUGUGCAUAAACAUAAAUAAUAUUUUGGGACAAGAAGACCCUAUGAAUUUUUAUUUUUAAUUUUAUAGAUGGUAUUAUAUUUAAAAAUUUAAUUGGGGUGAUUAUUAAAGAUUGAUAAUCUUUAAAAAUAAUAAGAUGAUCCGUUACUAACGAUUAUAUAAAAAAAAUACUCUAGGGAUAACAGCGUUAUAAUUUUGGAUAGUUCUUAUUGAUAAAAUAGAUUGCGACCUCGAUGUUGGAUUAAGAUUCUUUUUUAAUGUAGCAGUUUUAGUAAGAAGUUUGCUCAACUUUUAAUAUCUUACAUGAUCUGAGUUCAGACCGGCGUAAGCCAGGUUGGUUUCUAUCUUAAUUUUUAAGUAUAUUAUAUUAGUACGAAAGGAAUAUAUAGUAAGGUUUAACCUUUUAUUUUUUCUCUUUAAUUUUA